rnacentral:rRNA from 1 species
AACGCUGGCGGCGUGCUUAACACAUGCAAGUCGAACGGUGAAGCCCUUCGGGGUGGAUCAGUGGCGAACGGGUGAGUAACACGUGGGCAAUCUGCCCUGCACUCUGGAACAACUCCGGGAAACCGGGGCUAAUACCGGAUAUGACGCGCCUCCGCAUGGGGGUGCGUGUAAAGCUCCGGCGGUGCAGGAUGAGCCCGCGGCCUAUCAGCUUGUUGGUGGGGUGAUGGCCUACCAAGGCGACGACGGGUAGCCGGCCUGAGAGGGCGACCGGCCACACUGGGACUGAGACACGGCCCAGACUCCUACGGGAGGCAGCAGUGGGGAAUAUUGCACAAUGGGCGCAAGCCUGAUGCAGCGACGCCGCGUGAGGGAUGACGGCCUUCGGGUUGUAAACCUCUUUCAGCAGGGAAGAAGCGCAAGUGACGGUACCUGCAGAAGAAGCACCGGCUAACUACGUGCCAGCAGCCGCGGUAAUACGUAGGGUGCGAGCGUUGUCCGGAAUUAUUGGGCGUAAAGAGCUCGUANGCGGCCUGUCGCGUCGGGAUGUGAAAGCCCNGGGCUUAACCCCCGGGUCUGCAUUCGAUACGGGCANGCUANAGUUCGGUAGGGG